AAGGACCCGGUCAGCCCUGGGAGCACAGGUGAAGGCAAUUGAGCUCUGCGACCAGAGGGGGUGGAGCCUGGCUGCACCUCUCUUAGACCUCACUUAAGGGCUGACUGCCACUGGGGAAGGAUCUCCUCGUGGAGAUCUCUCUUUGGUGAAGCUUUUUCCUGCAAACCUGGAAUCUUCUGAUAUGGGUAUAGGAUCAAACCAGCCCGCAGGUCACCUGAAGAGCUGCAGAAUCCCAGUGACCAGAAUGAAUGGCUCUGAGCUCCACUCAAGACCUGUAGAUAAAGCACAAGGGAAUGUGUCAUGGGCCACUAAACUGCGCUGGGCAGGAAAUGGUCUCGAUAACCUGGCAUAUAUAUCCUGCUUUAAUUCUGGUUGGUUUAUGGCCCCUGCAGUAUCCCAGGAGCCCUGUCGGCUGCCUGACCUUACCCCUGCCUUUAGUCCAGCAAAAUUGAAAAGGUGUUUGAGAGGGGAGCGAGGAGGGGGAGGAACGCGUUACUGCAAGUGGUGCUGUUGGACUCCUGAGCUCUUUAAGUGACCCAAAAGAAGACAGAUUUUGCUGCUGUGUAAAGCCUGGCAAUCAGCUGGGUUCUGCCAGGCAGGGCUGUGCUGGAUGCUCCCUGGAAGAGGCUUCUUGAGGGUGAGAGUGAGAGGCAGCAAAAGCUCAUCAGAAUCAGGAUACGUCUUUUUUGAAAGGAGUUGCAUUUAAGUAGUGCAGCUUUAGAUUACUGGGACUGAGACUGCCCAAGAGAUGCACAACUGAUGCACAGGCCCUGUGCAGGCAGAGGGAGGACGUGAUGGCAGAGCCUAUGACAGCAGCCAGUCCCUGCUGUGACCCCUGGGAAACGAAUGGUG
ensembl:lncRNA